UGGGGAAUAUUGCACAAUGGGCGCAAGCCUGAUGCAGCAACGCCGCGUGCGGGAAGAAGGCCCUAGGGUUGUAAACCGCUUUCAGCAGGGAAGAAAAUGACGGUACCUGCAGAAGAAGGUGCGGCCAACUACGUGCCAGCAGCCGCGGUGACACGUAGGCACCAAGCGUUGUCCGGAUUUAUUGGGCGUAAAGAGCUCGUAGGCGGUUCAGUAAGUCGGGUGUGAAAACUCUGGGCUCAACCCAGAGAGGCCACCCGAUACUGCUGUGACUUGAGUACGGUAGGGGAGCGGGGAAUUCCUGGUGUAGCGGUGAAAUGCGCAGAUAUCAGGAGGAACACCAGUGGCGAAGGCGCCGCUCUGGGCCGUAACUGACGCUGAGGAGCGAAAGCAUGGGUAGCAAA
rnacentral:rRNA from 1 species